CCUAACACAUGACAAGUCGAACCGCCCCGUUCGGGGAGUGGCGGACGGGUGAGUAACGCGUGGGAACGUGCCCUUUGGUACGGAACAACUGAGGGAAACUUCAGCUAAUACCGUAUGUCGCCCCCAUUCUUAGCGGGAUGGGUGGGAAAGAUUUAUCGCCAUUGGAGCGGCCCGCGUUAGAUUAGCUAGUUGGUAGGGUAAUGGCCUACCAAGGCGACGAUCUAUAGCUGGUCUGAGAGGAUGAUCAGCCACACUGGGACUGAGACACGGCCCAGACUCCUACGGGAGGCAGCAGUGGGGAAUCUUGCGCAAUGGGCGAAAGCCUGACGCAGCCAUGCCGCGUGAAUGAUGAAGGUCUUAGGAUUGUAAAAUUCUUUCACCGGGGACGAUAAUGACGGUACCCGGAGAAGAAGCCCCGGCUAACUUCGUG
rnacentral:rRNA from 1 species